CCUACGGGGUGCAGCAGUGGGGAAUAUUGCACAAUGGGCGCAAGCCUGAUGCAGCCAUGCCGCGUGUAUGAAGAAGGCCUUCGGGUUGUAAAGUACUUUCAGCGGGGAGGAAGGUGUUGUGGUUAAUAACCACAGCAAUUGACGUUACCCGCAGAAGAAGCACCGGCUAACUCCGUGCCAGCAGCCGCGGUAAUACGGAGGGUGCAAGCGUUAAUCGGAAUUACUGGGCGUAAAGCGCACGCAGGCGGUCUGUCAAGUCGGAUGUGAAAUCCCCGGGCUCAACCUGGGAAAUGCCUUUGAUACUGGCAGGCUGGAGUCUUGUAGAGGGGGGUAGAAUUCCAGGUGUAGCGGUGAAAUGCGUAGAGAUCUGGAAGAAUACCGGUGGCGAAGGCGGCCCCCUGGACAAAGACUGACGCUCAGGUGCGAAAGCGUGGGGAGCAAACAGGAUUAGAUACCCGCGUAGUC
rnacentral:rRNA from 1 species